GUGUGUGUGUCUCUCUCUCUUCCUCCCUCCCUCCUGUCUCUCUAGUCUGUUUCUCUCUGUCUCUCCCCACCCCUCAGUUGCUGCUGGUGAGGGUGAACUACAAGUUGCUGGAAGUGGAUAAAGGAAAGCUAGUACUGAAUCCCAUUCUACAGAGGUCUAAGCAACAGCCCCCAAUUGUCUCACAUGGCCCUCCAAAGCUCCAGAGAGCAGUAGUAGGGUAGGAAGAGUGAGGGAAAAAGUAGAGCUUCUUCAGUCUUCAACUUGAUCUCCUUUCUAGGCCUGUACUUGGGUGAGCUGCCUCACUCUGUCCCAUCUGGGGAUAUUCUCUUCUCCCUCUUGCAAAAGUGAGCUGCCUGCUUGCUUCCCCUUUCCCCAGCCCCAUCCCUACCAUCCUUGCCUCCUAACCUUCAACCUUCUUCUCUUUAAUUCUAACUUCAAAUUUACUAAGCUAACCUUCCAAAGACAUUACCCAAGGUAGUACCUGCCCCUAACCUUCUAGAUUUCUUAGCUCCUGCAGGUGAGUCAAGGAAAUUAUCUUUGGGCAAGUCUAAUAAACACAGGUUCAGAUGCCUCAAACUGAAUACCAAGUUUGUCUUUGGUUAUUAUGGUUAACAAAUACAUAUCCGUACACACCAUUAAUGUUUGCUAAAAUAUUAAAUGCCUUUUAUGCAGCCAUUAAUAAAUGGAGUUCCUAUUCCAGAUUUGCACAGCUAAUUCAGCAUGAAUAACCAGAAAGUAAAAUCUAUGAAAUCCCCCAAAUGCGUCCACUCUCAUCUACAUCCAAUAAUAAUAAUAAUAAUAAUAAUAAUAAUAAUAAUAAUAAUAAUAGAACCAAACAACAAACAAAAACUCUUUGGGGCUCCUGUAGUUAGGAAAGGAAGUUGUUUAUCACAUGGGUUAAAUACCUCACCACACAUACCCAAUAUAACAUGUUUACCUGAAUAUUGUUACAAACAAGGAAAUCUUUUCCUGUAGAGGACUCUUGCACUUAUCAGGGGCUUAACUGGUGAGGAAGGGGGUACUAAAGAGGCCCUCCCCAGUAUAUCCUUUGGUCUCCUUUGUGCUUCCCUCUCCUGCCUCCUACCUCCUGCCUCACCAGCCCAAAGGCUCUGCCCUGGACUUCCCUUGGUCCCAGUUUUAUUCUUAUGUUUUCUGACCACCUCUUGCCAGCAUCCAAACGCUCUCUGCUCUGCGUGCUGCCCCACACCCCAUCUCCUUUCUAAAUCUCGAUCUGGUUUCUCUUUCGGAAACAUGUUUCAGUACAAAGCGCUUCCCUUCUGACACCACUGAAGAAAAAUAUGUGUCCAUUGUUGUGAGAGGCCUUAUUGUGUCUGGAUUACCAUACUGACCGUUGGCUAACCCAUAUUCCUCCCCUCCCCAGUAACAAGAUGCCGGCUGAGGUACCCCAGCGGCUCCACAGAUUCUGUACUGCAGUAAAACCCCACCUUAUGCUCCCUGGAUUUUCUGAGGGACAAAAAAAUAAAAUAAAAUAUAAAAUAAUUCAGGAUUUAGACGGUAAAAAGAAGGAAAAUAAAGGUCACACCUACUCUCUGAAGCACAGGGCUUGGUGUGUUGUUGUUUUUAAAUGUAUGUUCUUUGUGUUGUUUUAGGGAUUACAAAUUACAGCAUGCUUCUUUCCUUUUCCUCAAAUAAAUUGACUUUUAGAUGGUAUGCAAUCAGGCAAUUCAUUUCAUUUUGAUUUUUUUCUCCCCCGGGCAACUUGAAAAUCCCAAACUAAAACAAGAUUCUUAUACCAUUUUUUUCCUUUGUGUAUCUCUCUGUGUGUACAUGGGUAUAUGUAUGUUUUUGUCCUUUCCUAAUGCCAGCAGGCAGGACUAAUGUAUGCAAAAGAAUAUGCAAAUGCUUAAUUGAUUUUUUUCUUAAAUCUCUUGUCAGUAAAAGUAAUGAAUUGGUCUAAAAUGACUUUAAUAACCUGGAUGUGUCACUAGAAAAUACUCAACCGUUUUCAUCCUCUUGGAACUGCUGAUAGUCUCAAGAGAGAGAGAGAGAGAGAGAGAGAGAGAGAAGAGAAGAAAGAAUAAAAGAAAUCACAGAAUGUUAAUUUGCCCCCUUUAAAAUAUUAAAGAUGAAUUUCUCUUGUUUGUUUGGAGACCAUAGGCAGAGUCCUCUUGCAGAUCUCCCCCGCCUUGCCUUCCUUGGAAUUCAAUUUUCCUCAAAUCUCGUUUAAAGUGGCUUUUUAAAAAGUGGCCGCAUUUUAAUAUUGGUUAGACAGAGUGACCUGCAUUUCACCUCGGGUGUUUGACUUGUUCCAAUAGGUCACUGCCAUGGGGUUAUUGAUGAGGAAACUCCAUUGAAAUUUGUCUCUUCGCAAAUGGCCUUUAGAUCUUCCAGCGAGUUCAAUAACUAGUUAUAAUGUGGAAAGGGAAAAAUGAAGGCCCUGGGCUAACGAAUUUGAUGCUUCAUUUUUAUGCUGGAGAAAUUGUUAGUUAGAGGUUGGCCCCCCUGCUACCCCCUCCCCGUUCAUCCCAUCUUGGGUCAAACCACCCCCCCCAUUCAAAGCUGCUGGGUUAUAUCUUCUAUUAAGACUUGACUUGCGUUGAGGUAGCCCUUUCUCUCUGAUGCAAACCUUAUGAAUACUGUUGUAAACUCUGACCUACAGAUUAGGAAGAAGCUAGCUUUGUUGGGGGUUUGAAACCUGAACUUUUUUGUUAUGAGAACUUUUCAAAGGAGAAUAAAUAUGUCUUGGGAAAAAAAAUCUAGAGAUUAGGCUGGCCGUAGUUUAGAGAGGGUUCCUUGGCACCCACAGUUGAGGAAACUGAAAACUCUUUUUGAGGGAUGACAGGGUGUUUCAAGGUGCACUAAUGUGUUCCUGGCCUCACAGUUUCCAGUCACAAGAGAGGGUAGGCUCCAAAGACCAAGACAAGAAGACAAUCAAGGACUAAGCAAAGAGGGAAUAUUUCAUGAGGGGUAAGGGAAUCCAGGGUCUCCUCUGGGGUCACAGCAGCACUCCUGUGAACUUGGUUAGGUAAUUGCUCAAAGAACUCUGCUCCUUCAUAAGAAGGGUGCUCCUCUAAGAAAGACCUAAAGACAAGACACCAGUGAGCUGGAGAGGGGGGUGGGAUGAAGGGGUGAAGACUGUAAGAUUUCCUAUUUUUCUGGAAUGCUCUAGAGGUGGGAGAAGAAAGGUCACAGUAAGAUAUGAACGGAACUUAUUCUCCUCUGGGUGCCUUUCCUUCUCUAACCCUGCUUAAAGGGACCCAGUUUGCUCAGCCCCAAAUCUCCCCUGUUUAAUAAGCCCUGUGGCCUCCUUCCAACCUCAGUCUAUCACCGGAGUCAUCCAAAAGGUAUGCCUUGGAUCCUGGGGCGGGUGAAACAAGGCCUCAGGGAUGAGUAAGUGCCAAAAAAACUGAGGGGAAAACUGGGGUACUAUCUCCCCGCAUUAUCUUAAUCCCAGAGGAGUUGGGUGCUACCCCGGUUUUCUCUCAAACUUGCUUGAGCAGAUCCGUGUUACCAGUGGGAUCAGGAAGAAGCCUCAACUGCCAAUGGGCGUCUUAACAGCCAAAAACUGGGAAGCCCGGGAAAGGGCUGUGGCAGCCGCUGGAUAGGCCCGGGAGGUUUCCCCACUUACUAGCCCAGCGGGAAACAACAGCAAGGAGUUCUGAACUUCCCGCAAAGGCUAGGCGCGUCCGGGCGGACAGGCCAGUCACACCCGCAAGCUCACCACCUCGGGCCCCCAAUAUUUAGGCCACAGAACCUCGGACCCCCCCCCCAGCCUCACCUCUCCCUGUUCUAAUUACGCGAUUGAUUUUCUCUAGGGCUUCUUCGGGACGCCUCUGUCUCUGAGUGUUUAAAUCUUUCCGCUCCAUUUUUCUUUUCCCGAGUUCUCCCGAGAUGUGCCGGCGGCUGGCGCGUUUUGAGGUCCCUAGGCCGUCUCGCCUUACAUUUCAAAGAAAUGGCCAAGCCACACAGUCCUGGGCGCGCCGAGACUGCGACAACAUGAUCUUGCCCACCCGCUUCGGAAUCACUUGAUGAUGAGCAAGCCUCCUCGUUUGAGCUGUCCCUGGCGCCUGGCCUGGGAUCUGGAAUCAUCGGGUUUGUGUUUCUAUUUAUCCCCAAGAAAGUGCGGAAAAAGCCUGGGCUGAGACCAAAGGAGGCAGGACACCGGCUGGGACUUGCAGCCUUUUCCCAGGUGAACACCUGGGCUCGACACUGGCUAUCUAGCAACCCUGAGAAGCUAUCUAACCACAAUUCUACAAGCUCUGGCGUCCUUUGGACCACAGGCCUUUAGGUUCUGGCUGCGGACCCCAACAAGCAUCAGGCGAUAGGGUCGGAUUGUUACCCCUGCCAGGAAGCCCCUCAACUUGGCCGCCCCAGACAGCGGCCUUUCUUGGUGGCUUCUGUCCGGGACCCUGCGGUCCAGCCCCCUCCACUCAAACGCUGCAGGUGAGGCGAGGAAGGGGAAAGGGCAUAUGUGUUAAAUUUGAGAGGAGUGGGUUAGGGUAGGGUGGAAGUGGAGGACUAGCGCCUAGAACUCAGCCUCUCCGGAGAGAAGGCCAACUGACCUCUUGCUCCCCUUUCCCAUCUGGAAAGAAAAACUUUCAUCUUCCCCCAACUGCUGGGCUUUUGGUCCAUCUCUUUAUUUACAAUUAAUAAACAAUUCUCUGCUUCCUCUCCCA